GAUGAACGCUGGCGGCGUGCCUAAUACAUGCAAGUCGAGCGAACGGACGAGAAGCUUGCUUCUCUGAUGUUAGCGGCGGACGGGUGAGUAACACGUGGAUAACCUACCUAUAAGACUGGGAUAACUUCGGGAAACCGGAGCUAAUACCGGAUAAUAUUUUGAACCGCAUGGUUCAAAAGUGAAAGACGGUCUUGCUGUCACUUAUAGAUGGAUCCGCGCUGCAUUAGCUAGUUGGUAAGGUAACGGCUUACCAAGGCAACGAUGCAUAGCCGACCUGAGAGGGUGAUCGGCCACACUGGAACUGAGACACGGUCCAGACUCCUACGGGAGGCAGCAGUAGGGAAUCUUCCGCAAUGGGCGAAAGCCUGACGGAGCAACGCCGCGUGAGUGAUGAAGGUCCUCGGAUCGUAAAACUCUGUUAUUAGGGAAGAACAUAUGUGUAGGUAACUGUGCACAUCUUGACGGUACCUAAUCAGAAAGCCACGGCUAACUACGUG
rnacentral:rRNA from 1 species